CUAAAACUAGUAAAUCUGUCUGCAGCUCAGAUACUGAGAGUGGCUUUCAUUAAGGCCAAUAAAGGAAACCCUGGUCUCACACAAUACAUUGUUUUGGCAACUUUAGAGAAAAAAAAUAUAAACAUUAAGAUCACAGGAUUUCUUCUUAUGGCAGCUGUUAAUGUAUAAUAGUAGAUAAUUGAAUGACUAGAGCCAGAAUUCCAGGAUGUAAAUGAAAGUCACAAGCACUUACACAAAUUCUCAGUAAGUUUCCAGUGAGCUCAAUGACAGAGUGAGGAUUCUGUAGACAAUUAAGGAUAUAAAGAGUGAAAUAAAAGAGCUCGAUAUAGUGAAUAAUGUCUUCAAGAAAUAUCAAUACCAGAACUACGGGGCACUUGAACACCAAAAGAAAGUAUUUUUAAAGUAUUCUAAAAGUUUCAAUGGUAUUCUGAAAACUUAUUUCAAAGAUGACAAAGCAACAAAUGUUCUCAAGUGUUUAUUGAUUAACUCAUCAAACAAACUUGAUUAUUCAGACACUAAAAAUUGUGGCCUGA
rnacentral:lncRNA from 10 species